rnacentral:hammerhead_ribozyme from 1 species
GCACUGCUGACGAUUGCAAAACAGGACGAAACGGCUGUCCAGUGC